rnacentral:antisense_RNA from 1 species
AUUGAUACAGCAGAAAUGUAAAAAGCCUUGUUUUACAAGGCUUUUAUAUAUCAUUUGAUAUGGAUUGAUACGAAAUGAUUUAGAAAUAUGGUGCGACUAGCUGGACUCGAACCAGUGACCCCCACCA